rnacentral:rRNA from 1 species
AGUGUAUCAGUUGUUUCGCCAGAAGCAGCGCUGAGUAGCUAUGUUCGGCAGGAAUAACCGCUGAAAGCAUAUAAG